CAUUGGUAUUAAGGAUAUUAUAUGAAACCUUUUUUUUUCUUCUAAAGCAGGGCAUUUUAAUUUUUUGUGAUUAUAGAUUUUAUACUUCUUGAAUAUUGCUGAUGAACCUGUUUUGGGAUAUAAUCCCCAACUUCCUUUACAACUUUUCAUGUUCAUCUUUGGAGCUGUGCACUUGAUUAUAGGCCCCUUUAUUUGCCAAUCCGAUCUCUUCUUACUGUAGAAACAUUCAGUGUUUCCAGUAGCGUUGCAUUGGAUAAAUCUUCCUCUACUCUCAGAAUAAUCUUGGAUGAAGCUGCAUUACAUCUAUCUGACAAAUGCAAUACUGUCACUAUAAAUCUGAAUAGAGAUUAUGUUCGUGUGAUGGAUGUGGGGCUUUUGGAGUUAACCAUUACUGCAGUGAAGUCUGAUUCUGAUGGAGAGCAAGUAAGUUAUUAAAAUAAACGAAAAUUUUAAGUUCUAUUUUUUAAGAGAUUAAAAA
rnacentral:lncRNA from 1 species